rnacentral:rRNA from 1 species
AUUGAACGCUGGCGGCAGGCCUAACACAUGCAAGUCGAGCGGUAGCACAGAGAGCUUGCUCUCGGGUGACGAGCGGCGGACGGGUGAGUAAUGUCUGGGAAACUGCCUGAUGGAGGGGAAUAACUACUGGAAACGGUAGCUAAUACCGCAUAAUGUCGCAAGACCAAAGUGGGGGACCUUCGGGCCUCAUGCCAUCAGAUGUGCCCAGAUGGGAUUAGCUAGUAGGUGGGGUAACGGCUCACCUAGGCGACGAUCCCUAGCUGGUCUGAGAGGAUGACCAGCCACACUGGAACUGAGACACGGUCCAGACUCCUACGGGAGGCAGCAGUGGGGAAUAUUGCACAAUGGGCGCAAGCCUGAUGCAGCCAUGCCGCGUGUAUGAAGAAGGCCUUCGGGUUGUAAAGUACUUUCAGCGGGGAGGAAGGCGACAAGGUUAAUAACCUUGUCGAUUGACGUUACCCGCAGAAGAAGCACCGGCUAACUCCGUGCCAGCCGCCGCGGUAA